rnacentral:rRNA from 1 species
AGUGAACGCUGGCGGUAGGCCUAACACAUGCAAGUCGAACGGCAGCACAGUAAGAGCUUGCUCUUACGGGUGGCGAGUGGCGGACGGGUGAGGAAUACAUCGGAAUCUACUUUUUCGUGGGGGAUAACGUAGGGAAACUUACGCUAAUACCGCAUACGACCUACGGGUGAAAGCAGGGGAUCUUCGGACCUUGCGCGAUUGAAUGAGCCGAUGUCGGAUUAGCUAGUUGGCGGGGUAAAGGCCCACCAAGGCGACGAUCCGUAGCUGGUCUGAGAGGAUGAUCAGCCACACUGGAACUGAGACACAGUCCAGACACCGACGGGAGGCAGCAGUGGGGAAUAUUGGACAAUGGGCGCAAGCCUGAUCCAGCCAUACCGCGUGGGUGAAGAAGGCCUUCGGGUUGUAAAGCCCUUUUGUUGGGAAAGAAAAGCAGCAGGUUAAUACCCCGCUGUUCUGACGGUACCCAAAGAAUAAGCACCGGCUAACUUCGUG